rnacentral:rRNA from 1 species
GAACGCUGGCGGCAGGCCUAACACAUGCAAGUCGAAUGGUAACAGGAAACAGCUUGCUGUUUCGCUGACGAGUGGCGGACGGGUGAGUAAUGUCUGGGAAACUGCCUGAUGAGGGGGAUAACUACUGGAAACGGUAGCUAAUACCGCAUAACGUCGCAAGACCAAAGAGGGGGACCUUCGAGCCUCUUGCCAUCAGAUGUGCCCAGAUGGGAUUAGCUAGUAGGUGGGGUAACGGCUCACCUAGGCGACGAUCCCUAGCUGGUCUGAGAGGAUGACCAGCCACACUGGAACUGAGACACGGUCCAGACUCCUACGGGAGGCAGCAGUGGGGAAUAUUGCACAAUGGGCGCAAGCCUGAUGCAGCCAUGCCGCGUGUAUGAAGAAGGCCUUCGGGUUGUAAAGUACUUUCAGCGGGGAGGAAGGGAGUAAAGUUAAUACCUUUGCUCAUUGACGUUACCCGCAGAAGAAGCACCGGCUAACUCCGUG